rnacentral:lncRNA from 1 species
CAAUUUCUUAAUAUCAUUAGUACCACAAAUAUAAACCUGGUAGUACCUAGAAUCAAUAUAUUCUAAUCUAUGAAUCAACCAAACCAUUCAGCUCAUCAGAAUAGAUAGAACAUAGAUUAAUGAACAGUAUAAUGAAAAUUCAACGUCUUGGCUUUGGUUAGUUCGUCAUAUUUUCAAUGUUUUUUUGUUAAAUCUUUAAUUAUGUAGUAAUUUAAUUCGUGUACAUUUAUAGUAUUUAGUCAUUAUUAUUAAUGUUUAAUAUUAUAGAUACUGAUUAACUUUAGGAUUUCCAUAGUUUGAAAAUAUUUGUCAAAGGAUUUUAUUGGAGAGAAUAUUGCACCACGUUUUAUAGGUAUGUAUUAAAAAAUCAUUUUUAUUUCAUGUGAUUAGUUUGUUUUUGUCUGCAAUUAUUCUUGGUGCUCGUUACUGAUGACUAUUUUAUUAUCUAUUACACUUGAGGAACAGUUUUAUUCUAUUUUAUUAUUUAAAUACCUACCUAUUUUUAUUUUUAUUAAUUACAGUAUGUAACAACAAUAAUUAAAAUAGACAUUAAUAUCAUGAAAAUUAAUAAAAGACAUAAUUUCAGUUUGAUGUAGGGGAAUUAACUAUAUUUAUUUGAUCACUGUCAGAAUUAGAGUCUUUUAGNUAACAUCCAAAUAUCGCAGGGGACCUCGACAUGCACUAUGUACCUAUUAUUUUUUCCUUUUGCUUCUAUUAAAUUAACCUUCAGGAAUCAAGUAGUGUCCAGUGGAUCUAUAUAUAUACGGGUCCUGUUGUAGACCUAAGACAGAACGGUUACAGUUUUCAGAUUGUCGCCACCGUAUCACGUUAAGACCGAUCCACGUUCAAGCCCUUGCGGACAAACCUCUGGUCCGUUUCCUAUUUCUGUUUUUUUAAAUUAUAUGAGUUAUAAAAUAAAGUAAUUAGUUAUAUGUAUUUCUAAACUGUUUUUAAUAUCCGUCUAAAUCCUCUACCACCAGCAGGUACUGCGGCGGAGUUCUGUCAUUAAAUAAAUCAUAUGAGCCCAGAUCGUCAGCCCUGAGCUCAAUAUCUUAUACUUGUUCAUGACGCAGAUCACUUAGCAGCCUUCUUCCUCGGUUAUAUUUUCUUCCCCCUCUCAAUAAUAAUUCAUCAAUUUAUACCAAUUAUAUAUCAAUUUAUAUUAUAUUUAUUUAUAGUGUGGAUGUCGAUGAUGAAGAAAUGAUGUUUGAAAAUGUAAAUGAAUUCAGUAUUUUGGAAUUAUGUUGAGUGUCAAAAAUGACUGGUCAAAAGAAAUUAGGAUAUGAAUAAUGAAGGCUAAAAGGAUGAUAAGAUCAUUAAGAUCAAGAAAACAGAAUGUGGAGAGCAAUAUGGCCCCACAUACUAGGUGAUCCAUUUAAGUGGGUAUACUAAUUAUUUCAGUAAGUAUUAAAUUUUUCUUAAAUUUUUUUCUAGAACAUUUAAGAAACAAGCUUUUACAUUUUAGUGUUGACAUUUUUGAUUUCUGUCAAUCCGCUGAUGAGAUAUAUUCUAUUUUUAAGUUUGGGUUGGAGUAGAGUAGUGGAGUAUCAUUUGUGUAGCCAUUAGGAAAUCAAA